AACGCACCUUGCACCCUCUAGUAUUCUGGAGGGUAUGCCCGGUUGAGUGUCAUGAAUCUCUCAAACCCAUGGUUUCUUCACUUCUCAUCCCUGUCCCGGCGGCCGGUCUUGUCCGGCUCUCGGUCUGGGGUGAGUGAGGCCAUGGGUCUUGGUGUUGAGCGUUGCCGGCCCCCACGGGUCGGCCCGCUCCAAAUGCAUUAGCUGGAUCAUACCUUUGGUUCACUCUCGACGUGAUAAGUUUAGAUCGUCGUCCGUGCCUCUGUAUAACUCCGCUCCUAAUCGUCUUCGGACAAAUCAUAUGACUUUUACACCUCAACUCGGGUAGGACUACCCGCUGAACUUAA
rnacentral:misc_RNA from 1 species